rnacentral:rRNA from 1 species
AGUGGCGAACGGGUGAGUAAUACAUCGGAACGUACCUUAUCGUGGGGGAUAACGCAGCGAAAGCUGUGCUAAUACCGCAUACGCCCUGAGGGGGAAAGCGGGGGAUCGAAAGACCUCGCGCGAUUAGAGCGGCCGAUGCCUGAUUAGCUUGUUGGUGGGGUAAAAGCCCACCAAGGCGACGAUCAGUAGCUGGUCUGAGAGGACGAUCAGCCACACUGGGACUGAGACACGGCCCAGACUCCUACGGGAGGCAGCAGUGGGGAAUUUUGGACAAUGGGGGAAACCCUGAUCCAGCAAUGCCGCGUGAGUGAAGAAGGCCUUCGGGUUGUAAAGCUCUUUUGUCAGGGAAGAAACACCGGCUCUAACACAGUCCGGGAAUGACGGUACCUGAAGAAUAAGCACCGGCUAACUACGUGCCAGCAGCCGCGGUAAUACGUAGGGUGCGAGCGUUAAUCGGAAUUACUGGGCGUAAAGCGUGCGCAGGCGGUUAUACAAGACAGGCGUGAAAUCCCCGGGCUUAACCUGGGAAUGGCGCCUGUGACUGUAUAGCUAGAGUGUGUCAGAGGGGGGUAGAAUUCCACGUGUAGCAGUGAAAUGCGUAGAUAUGUGGAGGAAUACCAAUGGCGAAGGCAGCCCCCUGGGAUAACACUGACGCUCAUGCACGAAAGCGUGGGAGCAAACAGGAUUAGAUACCCUGGUA